rnacentral:rRNA from 1 species
UUAAAAUGUAAAUAAAUUUUUUAAGGAGUAUUAGUUAAAAUCUUAAAAAUUAAAAAAUUUGGCGGUAUUUUAGUCUAUUCAGAGGAACCUGUCCUAUAAUUGAUAAUCCACGAUUAAUUGUACUUAUUUUAAAUAAUUUUCAUAUCGUUGUAGUUUGAAUAUUUUAAUAGAAAUAAAUAUUCAUAAUUUUGGAUGAAAAAUAAAUCAAAUCAAGGUGUAGUUUAUAAAUAAGAAGAGAUUGGUUACAAUAAAAAUAUUUAUAUGGAUUAUAAAUUGAAAAAUUUAUAUUAAAGUGGAUUUGAUAGUAAUUUUAUUUAUUUUUUUAAGAUGAUUUUAGCUCUAAAAUGUGU